GUGCAUUUCCAGGGGGAAAGAAGGGGCUUAGUGAAGGAGAAUUUCCACCAUGGUUUCUCUUCCCUUGCCUGAGAACCCUCUGCCGCAUGAUGUGGAAUCCUUUUGUAAGGACCAGGAAGCGGAAGUGAGGUACUUACUCCAGGAGCAGCUCUAGUCCAGCCACCACAUGUCUGGGCUUUGGUCAAGUCCUUACUACUCAAAGUAUAGGCUGUGGCAUGGACCUGGGGCUUGCUAGAAAUGUGACAUUUCAGCUCCACUGACACCUGCUGGGUCAAAGCCUGCAUUUUAAUUGAAGUUUCAGAGCUCUGUAGGAAGUGACACAGUACUGGAUGCUGGGAAUAUAAACUGUUUGGCUCUGUCUUCCUGGAGCUGCAAUCUGAAGUGGGGAAAUCCUGAUGAAUUCACUGAGAACUCGUUCCACAGCGAGAGCAGUAUAGAGCUGUGCACUGAGUUACACAACUAUCAGACAGAUUUGCAUUCUUUCAUGAGAGAGCAAUGCUGACCAAUGGUGGAACUGUGUGAUGUUGCAGCCUUGGGAGGAGGCACAAGGAUAAUUUUGAUGCUGAUGGUCUCUGUAGAUUCAACCUGCUCUUGGAUCUUUAACAUACUGUGGCACUAGAAAUCAAGAAGUUACCAUUAACUGCAUGGUCACCUGACUUGUAGGAGGUCAAGGAAAUAAAGAUGUGAACAGACAAAAAACCCCAAGAGGGGCUCAGAGAGGGAGUGCUGAGAGCAUCUGUUCUGAGAAACUGCUGUUCAAAAUGGAAGGAAAUACACAAAGCCAAGAGGAACCUCCGUCGUGAGAAGAGCUGAGAGAUGAAGAACAAUGCCUGUAGGACUCUUAGAAAAGCCAUCUCCAUGAGCCACUGCCUCCUUCUCAGCACCAGUAUUCUGGAAAGAGCACACCUCAUAAAGUCCUCCUGAAGGGCAGAGAUGCUGGGGAAUUUAUCCACCAACUCUUUCCCCUGUGGGCUCAGAGGAGCUCCUGAACAUGGACAUCAGCUUCCUGUCACUGGAACAGAGCCUUCUAAAAGAAAUGGUUCAUUUUGGCUCAUGAUUUGGGAGGUUAUGCUCAUCACACAUUUGGGCCUGAGAGGAGGUAGAACAUUGCACUGAGAGUGCAUGGUAAAGCAAAGCUGCUCACCUCAGGGCCAGGAAGUGAAAAAGAGGGGGUGGGGUUACACAGUCCUCUCUGGGACUCUAAGCAACGUAAGGACCUGGGACUUGGCCCGACCUGGAGUUCCCACUGUCUCCCAGUGUGCCAGCCAGGGACCAAGCCUUUAACACAUGGGGCACUUUGGAGGACACUCAAUAUCUGAACUACAGUGAUGAGACAAGCCUGCCCUGUCCAGAGAACACCCUCAGGCAGGGCAAGGACAGAGGCUUUUGGCUGUGGGCAACCUGCCUGUUGGGACCACAGGAUGAAGGGAUGUUGUAAGGCAUAGGCAGCUCUGCUGCAGGGACUGUGCCUUCCCCUUUUGGCAUCCUCAGUACUGAGACCACAUCUGGAAGUUCAUGAACACUCAGCAAAUGUUCAAUGAACACAGGAAUGGGUGAGGAAUGCAUGCACAGAAAGCUUAUUUUUUUCAAUUGUUAUUGUUUUGUUAGUACACGUUUGCAGUACAUAAUAAUUACUUUCCUUGUGGAGCGUUGCUACAUCUCAAGGUGUGCGUGACACAUCUCAAUUCUUUUUUCAUCCCCUUAUCCUCCUCCUCCUCACUCCUUCCAUCUCAUGCUCCCCCUCCUUAUUUGCAAAAGAUCUAUCUCCCUAUUUCCUACUAUCUAUCUUUUAUUUUGCACUUUACUUAUAUUUCAAGUUUCACAUGUAAGAGAAACUGUAUGAUAUUUAAGCUUGUGUAUCUGGUUCACCUCAAUCAACAUUAUGGUCUCAAGAUGUAUCCGUUUUGGGCUGUUGUACCACCCCCACCAGGACAGAGGAGGUGAGCUGCACAGGCACCAGCAGCAACAUCCCUCUCCCCCCCCCCCCCCGUCUAAAUGAGAGACAUGUAAAGAAGUCUCAAAAACAGACUUCCAGAUCACCUACAGCAACCCCAAAGGGAAACAAAAUGGAACACUCUGAUACUCAACCUGGACUCCCUGAACUGGCAACAAAAGAGGAUCUGUAAAAAAUUACAUUAGAAAUAAUUUCUCAGAUAACAGCAGAGAUUGUGCUCAUAGUGCAACACAUGAUUAAUAAAUCUAGAGAG
ensembl:lncRNA